UACGAAGGGGGCGAGCGUUGUUCGGAAUUACUGGGCGUAAAGGGCGCGCAGGCGGCCUUAGAAGUCAGAUGUGAAAGCCCCGGGCUCAACCUGGGAAUGGCAUUUGAUACUCUGAGGCUGGAGUACGGGAGAGGAGAGUGGAAUUCCCAGUGUAGAGGUGAAAUUCGUAGAUAUUGGGAAGAACACCGGUGGCGAAGGCGGGUUGCUGGGCCGACACUGACGCUGAGGCGCGAAAGCUAGGGGAGCGAACGGG
rnacentral:rRNA from 1 species